rnacentral:rRNA from 1 species
GACGAACGCUGGCGGCGUGCUUAACACAUGCAAGUCGAACGGAAAGGCCCUGCUUUUGUGGGGUGCUCGAGUGGCGAACGGGUGAGUAACACGUGAGUAACCUGCCCUUGACUUUGGGAUAACUUCAGGAAACUGGGGCUAAUACCGGAUAGGAGCUCCUGCUGCAUGGUGGGGGUUGGAAAGUUUCGGCGGUUGGGGAUGGACUCGCGGCUUAUCAGCUUGUUGGUGGGGUAGUGGCUUACCAAGGCUUUGACGGGUAGCCGGCCUGAGAGGGUGACCGGCCAAAUUGGGACUGAGAUACGGCCCAGACUCCUACGGGAGGCAGCAGUGGGGAAUAGUACACAAUGGGCGGAAGGCUGGUGCAGCAACGCCGCGUGCGGGAUGACGGCCUUCGGGUUGUAAACCGCUUUCGCCUGUGACGAAGCGUGAGUGACGGUAAUGGGUAAAGAAGCACCGGCUAACUACGUG